rnacentral:misc_RNA from 1 species
AAGUCGUAACAAGGUUUCCGUAGGUGAACCUGCGGAAGGAUCAUUUCCAAAAAAAAAAGAAUUUUGAAAUACACCGUAUUUGGUGUGUGAAGUGUGUGGUGGUAUCCAAAACAUUUUAAUUUACUCUCUCUGACAACAUGGUCAUCGCGUAUGCCAAGUUUGGAAGAGAGAGGCCUUGAUGAACCACAUCCGCAAAUGUAUUGGCGUUUGUUUGUCUAAACAAACAACACUAUACAUCAUCGGACGUUAACAUUAUACUGUCUCGAUAUAUUUCUACUCGGAUUUGCACUUGGUGCCCUAAGGCACCAGGUCAAAACCAACAACACAAAAGUACCAAUAUACAGACAACUUUUAACGGUGGAUCUCUUGGCUCGU